rnacentral:rRNA from 1 species
UUUUUAAAGCUAUUAUUUUAAGUAAUAUUUGCUCAAUGUAAUUAUAAAUAGCCGCAGAAUUUUUACUGUGCUAAGGUAGCAUAAUCAUUAGCUCUUUAAUUAAGGGCUGGAAUGAAAGAUUUUACAUUAAAUAACUUUUUUUAAAAAAAUUUAUAAAACUUAUAUUAAAUAUAAAAUAUAUUUAUUCAAAAAAUAGACGACAAGACCCUAUCGAACUUUACUUCUGUUUAGCUGGGGAAGCUAAUUAAACAAUAUUUUAAUAUAAAUCUUUUAUUAAAUGACCAAACAAAAUUUAUUACAUGAUUAAGUUACCGUAGGGAUAACAGCGUAAUUUAUUUUUAAACUCUCAUAAAAAAAAAAGAUUACGACCUCGAUGUUGAAUUAUAUCCCUAAUAAGCGCAAUAGCUUGUAAAGGGGGUCUGUUCGACCCUUAAAUUAUUACA